UAGUAACUGCGAGUGAAGCGGGACGAGCUCAAAUUUCGAAUCUGGCGGCGUCUUCGACCCGUCCGAGUUGUAAUCUAGAGAAGCGUCUUCCGCGCUGGACCGUGUACAAGUCUCCUGGAAGGGAGCGUCAUAGAGGGUGAGAAUCCCGUCUUUGACACGGACUACCAAGUGCCUAUGUGAUGCGCUCUCGACGAGUCGAGUUGUUUGGGAAUGCAGCUCAAAAUGGGUGGUAAACUCCAUCUAAAGCUAAAUACGGGCGAGAGACCGAUAGCGAACAAGUACCGUGAGGGAAAGAUGAAAAGAACUUUGGAAAGAGAGUUAAACAGUACGUGAAAUUGCUGAAAGGGAAACGCUUGAUGUCAGUCACGUCGGCCAGGGAUCAACCUUGCUUUCCUCGCUCGGUGUAUUUCCUGGUAGACGGGUCAGCAUCAGUUUCGGUCGCCGUACAAGGGCCAAAGGGGGAAGGUGGCACUCCUCGGAGUGUGUUAUAGCCCCUCGGUCGGAUGCGGUGGGAUUUGGGACUGAGGAACUCAGCACGGGGCUUCGUCCCCUCGUUGCUUAGGAUGCUGGCAUAAUGGCCUCAAGCGACCCGUCUUGAAACACGGACCAAGGAGUCUAACUUGCAUGCGAGUGUUCGAGUGGUAAACCCGAGCGCGCAAUGAAAGUGAACGUCGAGAGCCUUUUCUGGUUUGGGGAGGUGCAUCGACGCCCGGACCUGAGUC
rnacentral:rRNA from 1 species